rnacentral:rRNA from 1 species
CAGCCGCCGCGGGAAUACGUAGGGUGCGAGCGUUGUCCGGAAUUACUGGGCGUAAAGGGCUCGUAGGUGGUUUGUCGCGUCGUCUGUGAAAUUCCGGGGCUUAACUCCGGGCGUGCAGGCGAUACGGGCAUAACUUGAGUACUGUAGGGGUAACUGGAAUUCCUGGUGUAGCGGUGAAAUGCGCAGAUAUCAGGAGGAACACCGAUGGCGAAGGCAGGUUACUGGGCAGUUACUGACGCUGAGGAGCGAAAGCGUGGGUAGCGAACAGGAUUAGAUACCCCUGUAGUCCCUGUCUCUUAUA